GCCCGGGAAAAGCAAUUGGCUUGAAGGUCGCAAGACCAGUUCUUAAAUUUUGAAGUCCAAAACAGCGUUUACCUCCACAUUGUCAUCUAAAUCACAUCCAUCAAACAGUAUACUUCCGACUAGAAAAGUCCUGACAGAAACAUGGUAAUCAAAACCCAGAAUAGUAAAGAUGGAAUGGAGUAAGGGGAGUACCUACACAUUAGUUUACUGGCGCACCUUCUCGCUAUUAGGUGAGAGGCUUUGAGCCUCUCAACACAGAGAGAGAUGCAAUUAGACAACAAAAAUAUGUGCUACACUUAAUAUUCACCUAAAGUUUAAAAGCGGGUCCAGUCACUGAAUUGAUAAAAGCAACAUUGGAGCAUCUCUCAAAAGUCAAAAAACCAUUCCUCCUUGUGUGAAUUAGAUCUUAUCCCCCGUCCAAGAGGUAGGAUUAAAAGGCAACUAAAUAUCAGGUCUUAAACGGAGUCUGUCACAACUGAACAGAAACUACUGAUCUCUUAUUAUCUGCUGUAAAAGAAAAACAAAGGAGGAGGAGGAGCUAUUGAUCUCCAAGCACAAGAGUCUUGACAAUAGCAUCAGCCAUGC
rnacentral:lncRNA from 1 species